rnacentral:rRNA from 1 species
GUUGAAGGAUUUGGAAAAUUCCGCUAAAGAGGGUGAAAGCCCCGUAGACGAAAUGCUAACAACACCUAGGAGGAUCCUGAGUACGGCGGAACACGAGAAAUUCCGUCGGAAUCCGCGGGGACCAUCCCGCAAGGCUAAAUACUCCCUAGUGACCGAUAGUGAACCAGUACCGUGAGGGAAAGGUGAAAAGCACCCCGGAAGGGGAGUGAAAUAGAUCCUGAAACCGUGUGCCUACAACAAGUCAAAGCUCGUUAAUGAGUGAUGGCGUGCCUUUUGUAGAAUGAACCGGCGAGUUACGAUUGCAUGCGAGGUUAAGUCGAAGAGACGGAGCCGCAGCGAAAGCGAGUCUGAAUAGGGCGAAUGAGUAUGUAGUCGUAGACCCGAAACCAUGUGAUCUACCCAUGUCCAGGUUGAAGGUGCGGUAAAACGCACUGGAGGACCGAACCCACGUACGUUGAAAAGUGCGGGGAUGAGGUGUGGGUAGCGGAGAAAUUCCAAACGAACUUGGAGAUAGCUGGUUCUCUCCGAAAUAGCUUUAGGGCUAGCCUCGGAAUUGAGAAUGAUGGAGGUAGAGCACUGUUUGGACUAGGGGCCCAUCUCGGGUUACCGAAUUCAGAUAAACUCCGAAUGCCAUUCAUUUAUAUCCGGGAGUCAGACUGCGAGUGAUAAGAUCCGUAGUCGAAAGGGAAACAGCCCAGACCACCAGCUAAGGUCCCAAAAUAUAUGUUAAGUGGAAAAGGAUGUGGGGUUGCACAGACAACUAGGAUGUUGGCUUAGAAGCAGCCACCAUUUAAAGAGUGCGUAAUAGCUCACUAGUCGAGUGACCCUGCGCCGAAAAUGUACCGGGGCUAAACAUAUUACCGAAGCUGUGGACUACACCAUUAGGUGUAGUGGUAGGAGAGCGUUCUAAGGGCGUUGAAGGUCGAUCGUGAGGACGGCUGGAGCGCUUAGAAGUGAGAAUGCCGGUAUGAGUAGCGAAAGACAGGUGAGAAUCCUGUCCACCGUAUGACUAAGGUUUCCUGGGGAAGGCUCGUCCGCCCAGGGUUAGUCGGGACCUAAGCCGAGGCCGAUAGGCGUAGGCGAUGGACAACAGGUUGAUAUUCCUGUACCAGUUGUUUUUGUUUGAGCAAUGGAGGGACGCAGUAGGCUAAGGAAUGCAUGCGAUUGGAAGUGCAUGUCCAAGCAAUGAGUCUUGAG